GUGACCUGCAUGGGGUCUUACAUAGUUACGGCGAUAUUUUGUUUAUUAAUCGAGUCUAAUUGUAUUCAAUUUCAACUGUAUUGCCAGCACAAUUUUAUGAAGAGGCCCAGGGAGAUAAUAAAUCUCUCUCUCUCUUUAUAUAUAUAUAUACAUAUAUAUUUAUAUAUAUAUGCGCGUGUGUGUGUGUGUGAGUGACGGCAGUGAAUAACAGCUAUAAAACUUUGCUCCAUAUUGCUUCUAAAGGUAAGAUUCGCAAGCGAAUAACACACGUUCACAGCGAAAGUUCGCCCUUGUCCUGUACCGUAUAUUGGAUCGUAUUGUGCACACGAGGCGACGAUGCUGGAAAACUGCACAAAAUGAAAACAAUUCCAUUACAAAGAGUGGAAGAAAUGGACCAGAACAAAAAAGAGAGGGAAUAUAAAGAAAAGGCUAUGAAGUAUAAAGCUGGAGACAACACCGCAGUAAACCAUAACUUUAGAGGAAUUUGUCAUCAUUAGCAACGCUUCAGGUGGUUGUGUGCGUGUGUGCAGAAGUGAACAUUACUAUACCGCCAUCAUUACAGCGAACUAUUCACCUAUUUA